rnacentral:rRNA from 1 species
UCUACGGGAGGCUGCAGUGGGGAAUAUUGGACAAUGGGGGCAACCCUGAUCCAGCCAUGCCGCGUGUGUGAAGAAGGCCCUCGGGUUGUAAAGCACUUUCAGUGAGGAAGAACGCCUGGUGGUUAAUACCCAUCAGGAAAGACAUCACUCACAGAAGAAGCACCGGCUAACUCCGUGCCAGCAGCCGCGGUAAUACGGAGGGUGCGAGCGUUAAUCGGAAUUACUGGGCGUAAAGCGCGCGUAGGUGGCUUGAUAAGCCGGUUGUGAAAGCCCCGGGCUCAACCUGGGAACGGCAUCCGGAACUGUCAAGCUAGAGUGCAGGAGAGGAAGGUAGAAUUCCCGGUGUAGCGGUGAAAUGCGUAGAGAUCGGGAGGAAUACCAGUGGCGAAGGCGGCCUUCUGGACUGACACUGACACUGAGGUGCGAAAGCGUGGGUAGCAAACAGGAUUAGAUACCCCAGUAGUC